CUAUAUACCGCCGUCGCAAGCCCACCCUGUGAAGGAUCAAUAACAAGCUAAAUGGGCAUAGCCCAAAACGUCAGGUCGAGGUGUAGCACAUGGGGUGGAAAGAAAUGGGCUACAUU
rnacentral:rRNA from 1 species